GGGUGCUUAGCUCAGCUGGUUUAGAGCGCAUCCUUGACAGGGAUGAGGUCACCUGUUCGAAUCAGGUAGCACCCA
rnacentral:tRNA from 1 species